rnacentral:rRNA from 1 species
UGGGGAAUAUUGGACAAUGGGCGCAAGCCUGAUCCAGCCAUGCCGCGUGAGUGAUGACGGCCUUAGGGUUGUAAAGCUCUUUCGCUCGGGACGAUAAUGACGGUACCGAGAUAAGAAGCCCCGGCUAACUUCGUGCCAGCAGCCGCGGUAAUACGAAGGGGGCUAGCGUUGUUCGGAAUUACUGGGCGUAGAGCGCGUGUAGGCGGGUCUUUAAGUCAGGGGUGAAAUGCCAAGGCUCAACCUUGGAACUGCCUUUGAUACUGGAGAUCUUGAGUCCGGGAGAGGUGAGUGGAAUUGCGAGUGUAGAGGUGAAAUUCGUAGAUAUUCGCAAGAACACCAGUGGCGAAGGCGGCUCACUGGCCCGGAACUGACGCUGAGACGCGAAAGCGUGGGGAGCAAAC